rnacentral:rRNA from 1 species
UACGGAGGGUGCUAGCGUUGUUCGGAAUUACUGGGCGUAAAGGGCGCGUAGGCGGCCGUUUGCGUCGGAUGUGAAAGCCCGGGGCUCAACCUCGGAGCGGCAUUCGAUACGGGACGGCUGGAGACCGGGAGAGGAGAGUGGAAUAGCCAGUGUAGAGGUGAAAUUCGUAGAUAUUGGCUGGAACACCGGUGGCGAAAGCGGCUCUCUGGCCCGGUUCUGACGCUGAGGCGCGAAAGCGUGGGGAGCAAACAGG